rnacentral:rRNA from 1 species
UACAGAGGGGGCAAGCGUUGUUCGGAAUUACUGGGCGUAAAGGGCGCGUAGGCGGCCUUCUAAGUCGGACGUGAAAUCCCCGGGCUCAACCCGGGAACUGCGUCCGAUACUGGAAGGCUUGAAUUCGGGAGAGGGAUGCGGAAUUCCAGGUGUAGCGGUGAAAUGCGUAGAUAUCUGGAGGAACACCGGUGGCGAAGGCGGCACCCUGGACCGGCACUGACGCUGAGGCGCGAAAGCCAGGGGAGCAAACGGG